AACGUAGGAGACAAACGUUAUCCGGAGUUACUGGGCGUAAAGGGCGUGUAGGCGGUUAGUUAAGUCUGGCGUGAAAGCUCUCGGCUAAACCGGGAGAGGUCGUUGGAUACUGGCUGACUAGAGGACGGUAGAGGCGUGUGGAAUUCCGGGUGUAGUGGUGAAAUGCGUAGAGAUCCGGAGGAACACCAGUGGCGAAGGCGACACGCUGGGCCGUACCUGACGCUGAGGUGCGAAAGCGUGGGGAGCAAACAGG
rnacentral:rRNA from 1 species